AAGGAAGGAAGGAAGGAAGGAAGGAAGGAAGGAAGGAAGGAAGAGUGGCCCGGAGGCAGCACAGGCGAGCGAUAGUAGGGGGAAAUGGGCAGACAAACAGAUAGGAUAGGCAGGCAGGCAGGCAGGCAGACACAAGCAAACAAGCGAGCAGGCAGAUCUGCGGACAAAUAGGCAGGCAGGCAGGCGUUACCUCGCUUGGACGUGCUGUCGGCGCUGCUAAUAAAUCCAGGUACGGCAAUCACGAGAACAAAGAGUCCACAG